rnacentral:tRNA from 1 species
AUUUAAAUAGCUUAUAUUUAGAGCAUAACACUGAAGAUGUUAGGGAGAUUGUUAAAUCUUUGAAUA